AUGGGGAAUAACCCCUCGAAAGAGGGGCUAAUACCGCAUAAGACCACAGCUUCUACGGUAGCAGUGGUUAAAAGUGACCUCUAUUUAUAAGUUAUUGUCUCAAGAUGAGCCUGCGCAGCAUUAGCUAGUUGGUGGGGUAAUGGCCCACCAAGGCUACGAUGCUUAGCUGGUCUGAGAGGAUGAUCAGCCACACUGGAACUGAGACACGGUCCAG
rnacentral:rRNA from 1 species